rnacentral:misc_RNA from 1 species
UAAGUUAAAGUGAUAUUGAACGCCCUUAUGCAUUGCGGAGAUUGUUAUUUCUUAUGUUCUGAUGUGUGAUUAUUGCAAUGUGUUUGCUGAUUUUCUUGCUAUUUGAAGUUUUGAUGAGCUUAAUCUAGAUAUUUUAAUUAUGAAUUUUUCAAUUUUAGAGGCUUUCUUGUAGAAGCUGAAUUGUGAAAUUAUGUAGUAGGGUUGAAUUUAGGAUAAUUCUUUUUUUUUCCUAUAUUAGGAAAUACACUUGGUGUAAAGUUCAACAAAGAACAAUUGAAGUUUUUGAUGCAUGUACUAAGGAAAAAUUUGCUGUUUGUUUCCAAGGAAAGGAAAAAUGGUUUCACUUCAACAGGUUUUUGAAAACCUAAUCUUUUGGCAGCACAUUCAAUGUCUUGUUUAGUCGAUAUUAACCAAAUCAAAAUUCUGAUGAACUGCGAUUUGGUUUUCCAUCAUGUAUCAAGCCUAGUUUCAUGCAAGAGAUUGAAGAUUAAGUAGUACUUUGUUUGACCCAUUACAAAUGUUAGUUUGUACACUCCUGCCUCUGUUCCAUGCAUAUAUAUAACAACACUGGUUACCUUUUUUGUUGAAAAUUUGAUUGCUCCUACUUGGUCAACUUGAUAGUUAGGUAAUUCCAAUACGAAUAUACCUUAGUGAGGAUUUAAGUAGCAUUUCUAAUUACAAUUUUUGAGUCCCCUUGCAUUGCUGUUCCAUUGACUUUUGGAAGAUGCUGCAUCUAUCAUGAACUUCAUUUGCUAACAUUUUUGUGUAAUUGUAGUAUAAUGGAUAUCUUUUAGGUUGACCAUUUAAGUUUAUAUUUCAAGAUUUCGCUGUUCGUGCAUGCAUCUAUGUGCUCUUGCAUGCGUGG